rnacentral:rRNA from 1 species
UGGGGAAUAUUGGACAAUGGGCGAAAGCCUGAUCCAGCCAUGCCGCGUGUGUGAAGAAGGUCUUCGGAUUGUAAAGCACUUUAAGUUGGGAGGAAGGGCAGUAAGCGAAUACCUUGCUGUUUUGACGUUACCGACAGAAUAAGCACCGGCUAACUCUGUGCCAGCAGCCGCGGUAAUACAGAGGGUGCAAGCGUUAAUCGGAAUUACUGGGCGUAAAGCGCGCGUAGGUGGUUCGUUAAGUUGAAUGUGAAAGCCCCGGGCUCAACCUGGGAACUGCAUCCAAAACUGGCGAGCUAGAGUAGGGCAGAGGGUGGUGGAAUUUCCUGUGUAGCGGUGAAAUGCGUAGAUAUAGGAAGGAACACCAGGGGCGAAGGCGACCACCUGGGCUCAUACUGACACUGAGGUGCGAAAACGUGGGGAGCAAACAGG